AUGCGCAGGGCACGGGCGCAGCUGUGGGUCGCGGUCGCGGUGCUGGUUACUGGCACCAUCUGGCUCUGGUCCUCUUCCUCCGUUGUCCUCUUCGGCACCCACAGGGUCCAGGAUUUUGUUGUAGAUCAGUUGUGGAGAACUGCAGAUUCAAAUGGUUGGAGAGCAUCUUCUGCACCACGCACCUAUUGGCCUCCCCCACCAACUGAAUCCGAGAGCAAUGGGUACUUGCGUGUCCGGUGCAAUGGUGGCUUGUCCCAACAACGAAGUGCAAUAUGUAAUGCUGGCGCUCUACCCAUGGAUUCCGGCAUUAGCUUGAAACGCUCAGACAAAUUAGGUCUCGGCCAAUGUUGGAGAAGACGGAGUACAGGGAUGAGCCGCUCGAGCACGGUUUGA
rnacentral:rRNA from 1 species